rnacentral:lncRNA from 1 species
CCGGCCUUUGCGUGCGACUCGCCGGCGACCGAGAAGACGGGCCGCGCGCCGGGACGCCAGAGGCUCAGCCGCGGCUCCGGCCACAGAUCAGGCGACUUGGUCGUGGCGAUGGUCCUAAACACCUUGGAACAGGCAUGCAGGGACGAAAGGUCGCUCUUGUGCAAUUGUAGCGCAGGUCCAAUACGCUGACGCACAGUGUAAGCGGCGGCGCGCUCGGUAUACACCUUUCGACACGCACGCCUAAACUCUCCCCAAAUUUGGCCGACAGGCGCGUGGACAGACAUCCACGAGGUGAGGUCGGCGAGGCACGACGUGGCUGCGACAGUCGGCAUCCAUGCGCGCACGAGCAGUUCAACGAUGGCAUAGCGCAAUUCGGCGGGGAGUGUCAAGAGCGCGCGCACGUAUGUAUCACAUCCCGUCGCACGGCGUCGCCGGCGCCGACGUCGCUUGCGCGAGCCGCACCCAACGGGCUGCCCAGUGUGUCUGACGUCACCGUUGACGCCGUCAAGAGUGGGAGCGUCCACGGCGCGCGCACCGUGAUCGUGAAAGAGUAGGAAAUUGUCGCUUUCGCGCUGGGCAGCCAUGACCCAGCGGCUGGGCCACAGGGCAGCGCCAUCACUUGCAUUUCCGUUGACAACGGCAGCAGCAGUGGCAUCGACGACGACUGCUUCCGGGUAGACAAAGAUCCAAUCCGCGCGGCAGGAAGCGUACAAAAGUUGCGCGCGCAUGCUCACCGGAGCGGCAAUGGCGUGAGCCGCCGAGGGCGGAGCCGCGUCGGCAAAAAAGGUCGCGUUGUCGUGAUCCACGGCGACGCGCGAAAUGCCCACGAGGGUGGCCGCGUGAUGUUCCCGUCUCUGCCGCGACUCGAACCCAACCUCGGUGCGCCCGGCGAUGCGGGAUAGCGCAGCACGAGGUCGGGCUUGGUCAUGAUGGGCGAACACGUACCGAACCACCGGCCUAGUUCGCCAAUGUUGACGACAAAGGAGAGGGGCGCUCGAAUCGGCGGGCCUUGGUGAUGCGCGUGCACGCUGCACCGCCAGUGCAUGUCGUUGAAGAUUUGGCGGCGGCCUCCUGAAAAGACAAUGCGACCGUCGGGAUAGACGGUGACCAGCGCUUCCGAGUGCUUGACGGCCACCAUAAGUUGUGUGAGGGCGCACGCACACGCGCCAUCGACAAGCGCGACAAAGGCCAUGGAUGAGUUUUCUGCGCCCGGCGCGGUCGUCGUUGAGGUUACACUUGCCAUCGUCGC